rnacentral:rRNA from 1 species
UACGGGGGGGGCAAGCGUUAUCCGGAUUUACUGGGCGUAGAGCGCGUGUAGGUUGUUGCGUAAGUUAGUUGUGAAAUCCCUCGGCUUAACCGAGGAACUGCAGCUAAUACUGCGUGGCUGGAGUGGCAGAGAGGAAAGUGGAAUUCCCGGUGUAGUAGUGAAAUGCGUAGAUAUCGGGAGGAACACCAGUGGCGAAGGCGACUUGCUGGCUGCUAACUGACACUGAGACGCGAAAGCUAGGGGAGCGAACGGG